rnacentral:lncRNA from 1 species
GCGUGGUGGUGCAUGCCUGUAAUCCCAGCUAUUCAGGAGAUUCAGGAGGCAAAGGCAGGAGGAUCGCUUGAAUCCGGGAGGUGGAGGUUGCAGUGAGCCGAGAUGGCACCAUUGUAUGCCAGCCUGGGCGACAGAGUGGACUUGGUCUCAAAAAAAAAUAAAAUAAAAUAAAAAAUAAAGGUGUUUCCAUCCCCACAAAGAGCUAUGUCACCAAAGACACAGGCACCCCCUAUGACGUCCUGCUCAUUUAGGAAACCCAUAUUCCUAGAAGAUCAAAGCCCAUUACCUCUGGGGAAGUUUGUUUAAUUCCGGGAGGGAUAUUAUGGGCAUUUGUGGAGUUUCCAGAAAACUCAAAAGAGCCAUAAAAAUCGUAUUUACAUACAACAUUCAUCUAGGUUAAAUUUCUUUGCAAGAAGUGUCUAAUUCUCAAG